GGGUAGAUGCUCUGUAUGCUGUUGGAUUUGAGUGGAAACUUUGCUUCUUGUGAGUGGGAAUUGUUAAUGAUAAAUGAGCUGGAGAGGAGAUGUUUGAUGGAGAUGGGAAGAGGUAUAACUUAUCUGAGGAAGGAAUAAGAUUCUCCUACAAGGCUUGUAAUCAUCAUUCCGAGCGCUGUACUCCAAACCAAAGCACUUUGCUGUCUCACUCUGACAUCAAAUGAGAGCGAUUGCUCUCCUGCUGAAGUGAAAGCAUUGCUAAGCAGCACCAGGGCAGCAGUUACAAAAGUAAAGGCAGAGAUUUCCCUGCUGGUGCUGUGAGGAGGUGGCGAUGGGUCCUUAACGAACCAGGCUCGACCCUGCGCAGGGGUGUUUGGAUACAUAUCUGCCUGAACCUGAAGCCAGAACACUAUCCAGCCUCAGAUGCAGCUCAGAAUUUAGGUGAUGCUUUGCUGCUCGUGACACACAGCUCUGCUGAACCUGGAAGCCUCAGGUGAAGGUGCUUCACCACAUACCAGAGGGGAUUUAGCUUGGUCUCAUGGAUCCAGCUGGAGAAGGAUCUGAUAUGUCUGGUAAUGGAGUGGAUUAUGAACAGCAGAAAAUUAACUGCAUGCAGGAGGUGUAGAGUUUGAGAAAAGAGUGCAGCAUUCACAGGAAGGUUAUCUUCAUACCAGCUCUUUCACUAGGAAGGUCAUAGGAAGAAGACUGCUUGUUCAAGCUAAUCAGGAAAUGUUCUAAACAUCAAGAGGAAUAUUUGAAACGUAAAGUGCACAGCAUACUUCAUGUGAUAGCAAACUGCAGCAUAUGGAUUGCAUUUAAUCAGAAGCAGUAUUCAUAUGCUAGACUCAAUGCCUGGUGGCCAUAAUAGGUGCAUCUUAAUUUAUGUAUGGAAAGGACAAAUGAGUUGAAUUUCUUCUCCAAAAAGAGAAAAAACAGUGCUGCCUCAUAUUAAGUGUUGACACUUGUCUAAUGUAGACCUCUUAAAGACAAUUUCCUACAGUGAUGCUUCUCAGUGAAGUGCUCUGAAAUCUAAGUAGCUUUUUGAGGGAGACAAUGCUCUACAAAAACUUAUGUCAGAAGAGGUGAUUAAUGUGCUAAACAGAAUUACAAGUUGGGUGUAGACAAUAGAAGAAAAUUGAAGAAGGAAGAAUUUCAGACAGCAGUUUAGCCCAGCCCAUUAUUUGAAGCAGAAUAUGUUUGGGCAAAGGUCUCAUUUCAGCCAAGAUCUUAUUGCAUAAUACUGGGCAAGUCCCUGGAUGCCAACUGAGAAAUCUAAAUAUCUUAGGCUUUCUAUAUGGUAAAUGAAGAGUGUAUGACACUGCCAAAGGACAGUACAUCUUGGCUAUCUCCGUAGAUGUUCUAUGGGGCUAUGGAUGUUGGAUUUAAAACGCUGCUGUUCUUAACACGCAACAGGAUGGGCUGACCUCUGUCAGUUUGCUGUCUACCAAUGCAGGUAUAUUACUUCUGCAUUUUUAUUCUCUGGCUCAUUUCUUUAACUCAUUAGCUCUCUUGUGUUAGAGCUUUUACCUUGUGCCUCUUCCACUGGUAAAGCAAUAGGAUGGUGAAAUGCAUGGAAGCUGCAGGCACUACAUUAAUGUAAAUAACUGUACACUAUAAAUAAACACUUAAAUACUAGCUAAAAGACAAAAAUCCUGGCUUUUUGCUAGUCACAGGCAUAUUUUUACCACCAUCUGUUGAGUAUCAUAUUAUCUGGAAAUAUAAUGAUCCUGCUCAGUGCAACCUUGUCAGUUAAACUGAAAUAAAGAAGCAAAAACUCUUGCAACUCUAAGCAGCUUUUUCUAUCAAUUAGUUAACUCUCAGCAGUGGGCAAAUCAUAUCUGCUAAGGAGAUAUUAAUAGCAGCGAUCAAAGAGAGAGAUCACAAAUGUCAAAAUUUCCAGCUGAAGACAUAAUUACACUAAAAAGCUUUUUAUGUAACUUUUUUGCUGCAUCUGCUGGAAUUUAUGAAUCACAAAAGAGAAACGAAUCAUCUCAAGAAAAAAGUGAAAAUGCAUAGGUCUUCUUAAACUUCAUGCAAAUGGAAAAUUUGUUAUGGUUGGCUUAAAUAUAGAUUUUAUUUUUUAUUAAGUAGUUUCUAAAAUUGGUGGAGCUAAAGUAAAAGGCCACAUUUGCAGUUUUCAGGGGACAUAGAGAAUCUGAGAAAGAAGUGGUGAACAACUAUUGGCUUGCCUACAAGUUGCCAUGGAUAUGAGAUCACCUUCCUUCAAAAUGGAUGGUGUUGAAUAUUCAAUAUUUAUACAAUAUUUUUGAUAUUACAAGUAAUAAGAUCAGAAGAGACCUUUACAUCACCUUAUCUGGACGCUGAGAUUCUCCUAAUAAACACCUUAUUCCAUCAUUAACUCAUGUUAAUAUACUGAAGUACAUCCUCCAGAAAGUCAUCUUUUCUUGGUCUGAAGGCAGAAUGUGAAUUUACUAUUACAAAUGCUUGCCUAAUAUCUCAUCUGAAUUUGGGACUGGCUUCAGUUUAACCAAUGGCUCUUGUUUUGUUCUCCGAGAUUAAAUAUCCUCCAGUACUUGUCAAAGUUUCCUGUACUUUCUUAUAGUUCUUAUAGCCAAGGAACCUGCCAAACUUCUCUUUCAUAAACCAUAUAUUUUGCAGCAAGGUGUUUAUUUGGCUUUUCUAUUAUUUCUAUGGAUUUAUUGUGACAUUGAAGAAAAGUAGGUUAUCUGUAGGCAUUAAGAAGAUAGUCUUUUUCCUACCUUUUUUUUUUGUUUGUGCAAAGUGGGAAGGAAAAGACCAUAUAUUACCAGUCUUGUUGCAUGUUGUUCUGUUUUGCUACAAAAAAGCAGUUACUGAUUAUAUAACAAAUACAAUAAGAAACACUGAUGUGGGAUUUGGGGUUGUUUCAGGUGUUUGUUUUCAGAGGAUCUGUAAUUAUGAUUUUCCUCUGAAGCAGCUUGUUGAGACCCCUUACUCCAGCUCCCAGCUCACCAUCCAACACCCUGCUCAGUGUUGUUGUAUUUCUCUUAUUUCACCCAGUGCAACUUUUAGAAAUGAAGGGAUGGUAACUCUGACACUCCCCUAUAGAGGUGCACCUUGGCACAGCCAUGGUGUUGUUGAUAUCUGGGUGAUAGCUUGAAGUAUAAGGAUUUGUGGCUGAAAAUGAAGCUAUAUCAAGUGAAUAGGUUUGUGUGAAGUGUAAGUCAAGUCCCUCUAAAAGGUUCUGUGAUCAGGAUUACAACUCUGUGUCUGCUCUUGUAGCUUUAGACACUUAGUAUUAUGGCAAGUAUUGUUAUUAGACCCAAGUGUGUAAUAUAUCUGAAGUUAAUAAAGUAAG